GGUUUAUACAGACACACUAGAGAACAGGGCUGCCCCAGUUUGGAUUCUGAUCUGUCAUCUAUUAGCUGGGUGACACUGAGCAAAUGUCUUAACAUCUCUGCGCCUCGGGCUCUCCCUGUCAGCAGUUCAGGGGUGAUGACGGAGUAGCCUGCCAGGCUGCGGAGGAGGAAUAAAUGAGCCCAGAUGGAGAAACUGAGGUUCCAGAGCAGGCAGUGGCUUAUCCAAACAUCCCCGAAGCAUACAAAUGCAGGAAGUCAGAGCCUCAGCCCAGCUGCCAGGCGUUUUCUGUGAAACUGCUCCCACCUGUGACAAUCCAGAAGCUUAAAAGGAAACUUCUUCCCCAGAGAUCAGCUCUAAGCCCAGGGGAGUCAUAAUAAAGAUGAAG
rnacentral:lncRNA from 1 species